rnacentral:rRNA from 1 species
UACGGGGGGAGCGAACGUUGUUCGGAAUCACUGGGCGUAAAGGGCGUGUAGGCGGUUCGGUAAGUGGAAUGUGAAAUCCCCCGGCUUACCCGGGGAACUGCAUCCCAUACUGCUGGACUUGAGUGCGGGAGAGGAUGGAGGAAUUCCUGGUGUAGCGGUGAAAUGCGUAGAUAAUCAGGAGGAACACCUGUGGCGAAGGCGUCCACUGGCCCGGUUACUGACGCUGAGGCGCGAAAGCUAGGGGAGCAAACGGGA